GCCGGGGCGUCCCCCGCGGGAGCCCGCAGCCACCCGGGACGCGCAUCCAGACGUGGCGCUUCGGACCGGGCACGCUGCGCCCGGGGGCUCGGCGGACCCCGCGUAGCCGCCGCUUCGGAGCUUGUGCGGCGCGGGCUGGCCAGCGGGGCGGCCAGGGCCCGGCCCGCCUCCCCAGCGCCCGCCCGGCUUCUCCCCCUGGCGGUGGGAGCCUCGGCGGCCGCUGGCGACACUAGGCGCACUGAAGCCCGAGCCGAGCCGAGCCCGAGCCGCCGCCGCCGCCGCCGCUGCUGCGCACCGCUCCCGGGCUCCCUCCCAGCGCGCCGGCCGGGGUGUGGGGGGCGGCGGGCCGGAGGGGCGAGGGCGGGCCAGGGGGCGCACACGGGGGUUGGCGCGGAAGACAGGACCCUCAGCCUCGAGGGAGCCCCUAGGUGACCAGGCAAAAUGGCAGUUCCUUCCAGCUGGUCCUCAGAUGGGCACAUCUAUUAGCCUCUGCUCUUGUAAGAAGUUAGCUGCAGAACCCACAUGUGAAUCCUUGUAGGACUCUGGAGAAGAUCAAAUGGGAGCUUAGAUGUGGAAGCUCUUUGGAAACCAAGAAACACUCUGAAAAUGAAAAGGAUACCAACUUCAUCUCUCUUUAAGAAUACAAUAUUAGUUUAAAAGAUUGUUCAACUUAAAGCAAUCUUGUAGAGAUUGUCACCCAUGAUUGAUGCUGGCAUAAGAAUGUUUAUCACAGCAUGGCAUAUAUUGGAAGUUUAGUAAAUGAAGAUACAUCCAAUCUGACAUUCUAUUCACAACCACAAAGAGAUAAUGUAGAAACAUAUUUAGUAAUGUGAGAAAAUACUAAAUAUUAAGUGAAAAAGGUGGAAGAGUAAACUGUUCCUGUUUCUCCAUCUUGACAGGAAGCAGAAGUUCUCCUUAGCUGAUUUUUCUUCUUGCCUUAUACUGGGUUCUUUAACACCAGAACAAAAAUAAAUAAAUAAAAGAAUCUUCCAGAAAUUCAUGAAGAGACUUCAGGUCAGGAAAGCCUGAACUUUCUCAUCCAACACCCGUUCAAGUCGGAGGAUGCUGAUUAAUUCAUGAUGGAAAGGUAUCAAUUUCACAGCCCAGACCUCUACAUUCUUGAAAUGCUCUUCUCAUGGGAGACAUUAAAUAAGCUUUGAAUUAACUAAUAUGGACAUCUUGGGUUGUUGUGAGAAUGGAGUUACCAAAGUUAUAAUCAGUUAAACACUAAGCAAAGUGUUAUGGCAAAGUGUAGUCAAGUGCAUUUCCUGUCAGAUGGUCAACACCUUAAGUGCUUGAGGUUGAAGAGAAUUGUUUUCAUCUCUGUUGAUAGGAAGAACCAAUGAUGUGAUCCCUGGAUACUGGCAAUUGUUGCCCAAGAAAACCUCUCCCCUUGCUGUGGGACUGCUGGGCACCCAAAUAAUGCACCCAAAUAAUUUGAUAGCUCUUGUUACACAGCUCUUCUUGGACUAAAAGGCCCUCAGCAUUCCUGUCAAUUUCUACACUCCUGAAGCUUCAUCUGGAGACCUCUGUGGAUUCUAUAACUCAAAGACCCAGGCUGACGGCUGGUGGAAUAGCUACCAUCUCAAACAUGGCGUGAUGCUGCAUCAGAGAGAAAAAUAAGCUCUUGCAUUGACAAUGAAAUGUCUACCCUGUAGUGACUUGUGCUUACUUCCACUCACAAGUGAUUGCCCAGAGCUACUUACCUGGCUCCAAUCUACCACUGGGUGUGUACUUGCAAUCUACCAUGUACCUAGAAGAUGAGAGAAACAAAUUAUUAAUGAUGACCACACCCCAAUACUAACAACAAUUGCAGAAGAAUCAAUGACUUAAACAAAAAUGUGGCCAUUGAAGGAAUAGAAAAUAUAGUGAGUUUAGUGUAAAUUUAAAAGUGAUUUAUAAGUAACAUACAAAAUCCAGAAACUAUAAGAAAACAGAUUCACAAAUAUAAAUAUAUAAAGCUUUAAAAAAGUUUAAUGUAACAAAAAUGGCAUAAAAGGAGUCAAAAGUUUUUAAAAAAUAUGUUAAUGCAGUAGAUUAGGUGCUAAUUUUCUUAAUAUACUAAUAACUCAAUAAGAGAAAUUUUGUAUCUAGAAGAAAAUGAACAUGGAAAUAGGCAAUUCACAGAUAAUGGCAUUCAUCUGGCGAAUAAAAAAAUGUGUGACAUUCAGAAUAAAAUAAAAAUGAAAUACUGGUUUUCAGCCAUCACUUGAGCAAAACUGCAAAGAUACAAUGAGACUCAGGCAUUCCCAUAUACUGUGGAUGGGAG
rnacentral:lncRNA from 1 species